GAUAACCUACCUAUAAGACUGGGAUAACUUCGGGAAACCGGAGCUAAUACCGGAUAAUAUUUUGAACCGCAUGGUUCAAAAGUGAAAGACGGUCUUGCUGUCACUUAUAGAUGGAUCCGCGCUGCAUUAGCUAGUUGGUAAGGUAACGGCUUACCAAGGCAACGAUGCAUAGCCGACCUGAGAGGGUGAUCGGCCACACUGGAACUGAGACACGGUCCAGACUCCUACGGGAGGCAGCAGUAGGGAAUCUUCCGCAAUGGGCGAAAGCCUGACGGAGCAACGCCGCGUGAGUGAUGAAGGUCUUCGGAUCGUAAAACUCUGUUAUUAGGGAAGAACAUAUGUGUAAGUAACUGUGCACAUCUUGACGGUACCUAAUCAGAAAGCCACGGCUAACUACGUGCCAGCAGCCGCGGUAAUACGUAGGUGGCAAGCGUUAUCCGGAAUUAUUGGGCGUAAAGCGCGCGUAGGCGGUUUUUUAAGUCUGAUGUGAAAGCCCACGGCUCAACCGUGGAGGGUCAUUGGAAACUGGAAAACUUGAGUGCAGAAGAGGAAAGUGGAAUUCCAUGUGUAGCGGUGAAAUGCGCAGAGAUAUGGAGGAACACCAGUGGCGAAGGCGACUUUCUGGUCUGUAACUGACGCUGAUGUGCGAAAGCGUGGGGAUCAAACAGGAUUAGAUACCCUGGUAGUCCACGCCGUAAACGA
rnacentral:rRNA from 1 species